GGAAGCUGAGAUGCUUACACAUGCAAGUCGAUGAGAAGACUCCCUUCGGGGAGAGGGUAUCAUGGCGGACGGGUGAGUAACGCGUAAAGAACUUGCCAUAUGGACAGGGAUAACCGAUGGAAACGACGGAUAAGACCUGAUAUAAUGAAUUAAUGGCAUCAUUGAUUCAUGAAAAGCAAUGCCAUAUGAGGGCUUUGCGUCCUAUUAGCUAGUUGGUAGUGUAACGGACAACCAAGGCGAUGAUAGGUAGCCGGCCUGAGAGGGUGGACGGCCACAAGGGGACUGAGAUACGGCCCUUACUCUUACGGGAGGCAGCAGUGGGGAAUAUUGGACAAUGGAGGUAACUCUGAUCCAGCAAUUCUGUGUGCACGAUGAAGGUCUUCGGAUUGUAAAGUGCUUUAAGUUGGGAAGAAAAAAAUGACGGUACCAACAGAAUAAGCGACGGCUAAAUACGUGCCAGCAGCCGCGGUAAUACGUAUGUCGCAAGCGUUAUCCGGAAUUAUUGGGCAUAAAGGGCAUCUAGGCGGGGUUUCAAGUCGACGGUGAAAACUAGUGGCUCAACCAUUAGCUUGCCGACGAAACUGAAAUUCUAGAGUAUUGGAAAGGUGGGCGGAACUACAUGAGUAGAGGUGAAAUUCGUAGAUAUAUGUAGGAAUGCCGAUGACGAAGGUAGCUCACUGGACAAAAACUGACGCUGAAGUGCGAAAGCUAGGGGAGCAAACAGGAUUAGAUACCCUGGUAGUCCUAGCUGUAAACGAUGUUCACUGGGUGUGGGCGAGUAGAUCGUCUGUGCCGAAGCAAAUGCGAUAAGUGAACCGCCUGGGGAGUACGGCCGCAAGGCUGAAACUCAAAUGAAUUGACGG
rnacentral:rRNA from 1 species